AAAGCGUCAACUGUCACUCUUCUCCCAGCUGGAUCCAAUGAAGACAGAAAGUGCAGAUUCGAGGAUGCCAGAGCCCCCUCCACAAGACCCUGGUAUUCCCGAAGGCCUCAAAACAAGCCCCCUAAACACAGAGGCUCUCGGGGAGUUUGCCCAAAACAUGUCAGAGCACAUACUUCGAUCAGUUUUUAGCCAAAAGGAAACAGUAGAACCUGAGGAGUCCAUUUAUAACCAAGAGCACGAAAUGCUAGCUGAGGCGCUAGCAUCCGCAGUGAUUGAGAUCGCUCUGAGUGAAGUGUGUAGAGGAAGAAACUUAAAGGACCACAUGGAGGGUGCUGAAAUAGAGAUGGAGAACAACAAGGGUGAACACCAGUGUUUUGAGGAUAAAUCUAGAAGAGACCAAGAACACCAGACUUCUACCCAGCCUUGCCAUCCACCUCUAUCCCAGUCAGGGCUUCCCGCUGUGGGAUCCCUCGACUACCCCGACGCCCCACCGACCACGCCUCUUCUCCCAGAGCUGGAGAGGAGCAGAAGCAGCUUCGCCCGUAAGCUAAAAGGAGGCCUGGCAAAGGUUUUCCUACCCUCGCCUCCUCCACCAACGCCAAAGGACAAGGAGGACAACGGAGACGCUUUGAUCAGCGACCCUCAUGUGGAACUGAUGGAGCAUCUCAUGCAGUCGCUGUCUACAGAUGAUUUGGGGAGAGGCAAUUUCGAAGUAGCACCUCUGCAUGAACCAACUAUAGAGACUUUUGCACAGUGAUCUCAACCUACUGGCCCAACAGCUGGCUGAAACCAUUAUCACGUCCUCCAUUGAUGAAGCUAAAGUGCUUAUCUAGGAUUUAAAGUGAUUCAUGGAGUCAGGUAUGAUGAAUAGCCUAUAUAUAUGCACACACAAGCUCAGUCCAUGGACUAUAUAUAUACAUAAAAGGUGGACAUAGCCACCAUAACACAAUCAGUUUAAUUGUCUUUUGUAGCUAUCUUAGUGUUUUUAAGUCAGACACGAAAAGUGAACCACUUAUUGGUUAACAGCUUAUGAGUAACAAGUCAUUAACCAAUUAGCAUUUCCUGGUUUAUCCACCUUUCUGACUCAAAUAAUGAUGACAGAUUUACAAAGGAAUUUCAUACUCUGUACACUAUGAUGUAAAACUAGCAACUGAGCCUCAAAAAGUUACCAGGUAUUCAGUGACAUCAGAGAGUAUGGAAGUACAUCUAUAAUAGCAGAAGGCUUUUUAGAAACCUGAGUAAUCGCCCCCUGUUCGGCAUCAGAAAGAAUGCAGGUAAAAGCAAGAUAGAUAGACUAUCUCUAGCAUAUACUUCUGUCCUACUCCACAUACUCCUUCGCUACACGAUGACAUGACAAAACAUUCUGUUCUGCAGCACAGGGAGAGAAGAUGCCUGCCACUUUGAGUUCUCUAAGCCACUAAAACACUGUGGAUUGUGGACUAUCUUUAGAGUUGGUCUAUAUAUACCCUUUCUGUGCAGCUUUUGACUACAAUCCUCAGCAAGUCCAUAGUCCUACCCAUUACCAAGCCAGUACUUCUCUGUUGGUCACUCUGUAGACUUAGAAGCUAAAUCUAUCAUUUAUAUAUAGUCUGUGGGGUCUGUUACUGUUAUUUCCUCUAAAGUAGGCAAUACACAUUAUCUUACUCCAAGAUUUGGGAAUUUCAUUUGUUACAGGAGUUAAUAUGAUUCAUUUGCAUUUGAUUGUAAUAUUAUAUUAAUGCUAUUUAUUAAUGAUAACAUAUUAUUAUGAGUUCAACUGUGUAUUCGUUUGUGUUUCUUGUUCAGAAAUGAACUUGUCAUUGAGGUUAAGUGGCAUUUCUGCAUCCUGAAAACUGCUGGAUGAUAAGUAACUGUUACAUUUCAUGAUGGAUUAAAGUACACUGGAUCUGACUUUUAUUUCUUUCUUACAAAACAAUACUUGGCUCCAAAAGCAAUAACCACAUUUGUCCUUUGGAUGGCAGCACAGUAAAGAAAUUUCAGCAUUUUUCAGCAUGAGCUCAGCAGUGCUGACCUACUUGGGACAUGACAACAACUGGAAUUAAUUUUGUUUUCCAUUUAGGAAAUCAUUUACUUUUAAAUGGUGGUCACCUGUCAGUAAAAUUGUUUUGUUUUGUUUGAUUUUGCUUCUAUGGUCAGGUCCUGCCAAAAGGGAAAGCCCUGCUAAAUAUAAUGCAGAGUACAACGACUUGCAGACUGCUAUAUCUGUAACAGAAGAUGAAACUGGACAGCAGAUGUUCUGUAGAUGAACUUGUAUCACACUGGAUUAUAAUCAGACAUAACAUUGGCAAAUUGUUUGGUUAGUUUUCUUUGUAAUCACCCUCAAAAUCUUUAUGUAUCCAGCAUGACUCAUUCAGCCCGUUCACUGAGCAACGAUACUGGCAUUUUGGACAAAUUUGUGUUCUGGCUCAAAGAAAGCUCGUUUUCAUACUCACUUCGUCCUUGAUGUCAGACCUUGGAAGAACAAAAAGAAAAAAGAAAAAAAAACGGGGCGCCACAGGUCUUAACCAAACACUGAUGCGAUCCUGGAAUCGAAUAAAAACUCUGUUUUCUUUUUAAAUCAGUAACUACUUAAACACAGUUGGAGAUUGACAAAUUUACUGCAAGAAAAUCUUUGCUGAACUUUUAAAGUGCUGUUUUGAAUAAAGAGUCUCAUU
ensembl:lncRNA